rnacentral:rRNA from 1 species
UACAGAGGGGGCAAGCGUUGUUCGGAAUUACUGGGCGUAAAGGGCGCGUAGGCGGCCUGUUAAGUCGAACGUGAAAUCCCCGGGCUCAACCCGGGAACUGCGUCCGAUACUGGCAGGCUUGAAUCCGGGAGAGGGAUGCGGAAUUCCAGGUGUAGCGGUGAAAUGCGCAGAUAUCGGGAGGAACACCAAUGGCGAAGGCAGCUCGCUGGGACGUUACUGACGCUGAGACGCGAAAGCGUGGGGAGCAAACAGG